CUGGUUGGAAAAUCUUCAAUUUGGUGUGUUUAGUUUGGGCAAUCAGCAAUAUGAACAUUUUAAUAAGGUUGCUGUGGUGGUCGAUGAACUGCUUCAUGAGCAAGGCGCCAAGCACAUUGUCCAAGUGGGGUUGGGAGAUGAUGAUCAGGGUAUUGAGGAUGACUUCUCUGCAUGGAGGGAGCUUCUUUGGCCGGAGUUGGAUAAGUUACUUCAGGAUGAAAAUGA